rnacentral:rRNA from 1 species
CUACAGGGGAAGUCGGUGAUCCUAUGCUGCCAAGAAAAUCUUCUAGCGAGGUUCGAGCCGCCCGUACCCCAAACCGACUCAGGUGGUUAGGUAGAGAAUACCAAGGCGAUCGAGUGAAUCGUGGUUAAGGAAUUCGGCAAAAUACCCCCGUAACUUCGGGAGAAGGGGGGCCCAGAGGGUGACGGGACUUGCUCCCCGAGCCUGAACGGCCGCAGAGACCAGGGAGAAGCGACUGUUUACUAAAAACACAGGUCCGUGCCAAGUCGCAAGACGAUGUAUACGGACUGACGCCUGCCCGGUGCUGGAACGUUAAGGGGACCGGUUAGCCUCACGGCGAAGCUGAGAACUUAAGCGCCAGUAAACGGCGGUGGUAACUAUAACCAUCCUAAGGUAGCGAAAUUCCUUGUCGGGUAAGUUCCGACCUGCACGAAUGGGGUAACGAUUUCUCCACUGUCUCAACCACGAACUCGGCGAAAUUGCACUACGAGUAAAGAUGCUCGUUACGCGCAGAAGGACGGAAAGACCCCGGGACCUUUACUACAGCUUGGUAUUGGUGUUCGGUACGGCUUGUGUAGGAUAGGUGGGAGACUGUGAAGCUGACACGCCAGUGUCGGUGGAGUCAACGUUGAAAUACCACUCUGGUCGUUCUGGAUAUCUAACCUAGGUCCGUGAUCCGGAUCAGGGACAGUGCCUGGUGGGUAGUUUAACUGGGGCGGUUGCCUCCUAAAAGGUAACGGAGGCGCCCAAAGGUUCCCUCAGCCUGGUUGGCAAUCAGGUUUUGAGUGUAAGUGCACAAGGGAGCUUGACUGUGAGACUGACAAGUCGAACAGGGACGAAAGUCGGGACUAGUGAUCCGGCGGUGGCUUGUGGAAGCGCCGUCGCUCAACGGAUAAAAGGUACCCCGGGGAUAACAGGCUGAUCUUGCCCAAGAGUCCAUAUCGACGGCAUGGUUUGGCACCUCGAUGUCGGCUCGUCGCAUCCUGGGGCUGGAGUAGGUCCCAAGGGUUGGGCUGUUCGCCCAUUAAAGCGGUACGCGAGCUGGGUUUAGAACGUCGUGAGACAGUUCGGUCCCUAUCCUCUGCGCGCGCAGGAAACUUGAGAAGGGCUGUCCCUAGUACGAGAGGACCGGGAUGGACGAACCUCUGGUGUGUCAGUUGUUCUGCCAAGAGCACCGCUGAUUAGCUACGUUCGGGAGUGAUAACCGCUGAAAGCAUCUAAGCGGGAAGCAUGCUUCAAGAUGAGGUUUCCAUGGGGUUUACCCCGAGAGGCUCCCAGCUAGACUACUGGGUUGAUAGGCCGGAUGUGGAAGUGCGGUAACGCAUGGAGCUGACCGGUACUAAUAAGCC